AGAGUUUGAUCCUGGCUCAGGACGAACGCUGGCGGUGUGCUUCACACAUGCAAGUCGAACGGAGUAGCAAUACUCAGUGGCGGACGGGUGAGUAACACGUGGGAAUCUACCAUUAGAUGGGGAAUAACAGGCCGAAAGGACUGCUAAUGCCGCAUAUGUAUUAACCUCGACAGGGGUGAAUAUGAAAGGAGUAAUCCGUCUGAUGAUGAGCCCGCGUCCGAUUAGCUAGUUGGUAAGGUAAAAGCUUACCAAGGCGACGAUCGGUAGGUGGUCUGAGAGGAUGAUCACCCACAAUGGGACUGAGACACGGCCCAUACUCCUACGGGAGGCAGCAGUGGGGAAUUUUGUGCAAUGGGGGAAACCCUGACACAGCGACACCGCAUGAGCGAAGAAGCCCCUUGGGGUGUAAAGCUCUGUCAACGGGAACGAAAAAAAUGACGGUACCCGUGGAGGAAGCAUCGGCUAACUACGUGCCAGCAGCCGCGGUAAGACGUAGGAUGCAAGCGUUGUCCGGAUUUAUUGGGCGUAAAGAGUUCGUAGGCUGUUUGUUAAGUCUGAUGUUAAAGACCGGGGCUCAACCUCGGAAAUGCAUUGGAUACUGGCAGACUGGAGUGCAGUAGAGGCUAGUGGAAUUCCCAGUGUAGCGGUGAAAUGCGUAGAUAUUGGGAAGAACACCGGUGGCGAAGGCGGGUCUCUGGGCAGUAACUGACGCUGAGGAGCGAAAGCGUGGGGAGCGAACAGGAUUAGAUACCCUGGUAGUCC
rnacentral:rRNA from 1 species